rnacentral:lncRNA from 1 species
CAGCUGGUGGCCUGGGUUACCUCCAUGCUGACCACGAACGGAAAAAAAAAAAAAAAGAGAGAGAAAAAAAAAAAAAAAAACCCAAGGCAUUAGGAGGUUUGGGUGAUCAUAUCUUCUCCUUUUCAUCUUUCGUGUUAAAAUUUAACAUUUCCCGUUUAACGCCUGGCUAUAGGCCCAUAUACUGGAACAUUCUGUUUCCUGGAUGAGGUCAUGUCCUGGAGGUCUCUCCAUAAACUCUGAGAACAGCAGUCCCCACGGGAAUGCUUAUAGGGGAUAGAGAGAAACAAAGCCUCCGAAAGGGAGCCUGGAGAGUCAAACCAUCAGAUAAGGAUUCAGGUCACUGAAAACGCAGUCAAAUUAAGAAUAAAUAAGUCCUGUGCAACUGUAAAAUGGAGAAGAAUAAGUCUCUGGGGCCAACGACCUGCCUCUUCCUCUGGGGUCGGCAGUAGUGCGGAUUCUUUAUAAAGUCAGAACCAGCUGGUGUUCGGGGUUCCUGACCCCCCAGCCCAGUCCUGUUGUAACAAGCAGACCCACCCCUCCUAGCACCGGGCAGCCGAGCUUUUAAGAGUCUCGAACACAAUAAGCUGUUGAGGUUUUGGCAAAAUAGAGGCUUAGUAAAGCCACGCAUCUAUUCUUCACUGCAGCAACAAGUACUGGAGAGAGGGAGAGAGAACGAUGUGUCCUUUUACCAAAAUUUCUCUAAGUGUAAAGAGACUGACCAGAUGUCCCAACUAAGAGGCGUGAUCCACUCCUCUCUCCCACACGCCCUGAAGACGGCACUACUCACGCCCAUCCGGGGUCCCUCAGGGCACCGUGACCCCGAAAGACAGGUGACGGGUGAGAAACCCCACGGCUGUCCCACGCCCCAGUGUCUCUGAGGGGACACGGGCCCCGUGGCCUCGUUUCCCUCAUUAGGAGAUGCUUUAAUCCACGAUUGACUUAGCAAAUUAAAGCCCCCUCCACCGCCACGGACACCUAGGUAAUUGUCGCUGAUUACGAGGCUGCUCGCGGUGGUUAACUCGGUCGGCGGGUGGGCCUCACUUCUUGUAGGAUCCUGGGCGUACAGGUGGCAAGUGCGAACAAAGUGCUUCCAGGAGGCCCUUGAGAGCAAGUGAGGGGCACAGGGCGAUGCUAGCGGCGGCCCCAUGUCUCCCAUGUCUCGCUGAGCUCUCCAUGGUGCUAGCCCCCACCUGCCUCUGCGGCUGCUCCUGCUGCUCUCCGUGGUCCUGCCCUCCCUCCAGCCUCCCAAACCUCCAACCCCUCCUACGCGCAUCCUCGCCCCCCCCCACACAACCCACCACAGACACGCAGGGUCUUGGCCACGAGCCCCGAUCCGCUCCACCAGGACGAGGGGCACAGACCUUGAGAUAGGGACACGAGAGGUCCUCACGGCCGUCUAAACAACCGCAGCAAGGGCACAGGACGAGCAAGCGACACCGAGGUUGAGCAGAUGUAGGGGACUAGGGCCUACGGUGACCUCACGUGGCCUCCGGAGAACUGGGUGUCUUGCCAUAUCCCGGAGCCACAGAUUCAAAACAGAACCACAACACAGUCAUGGUUCAGGCUGAGACGCUGUUGCUCACAUACGGCGAGUACCACACCGACGCUGCGAAUGUGCAAUGCAAAGCGCGCCGUUCCCGGUUUCGGCAGGCCCCUCCCCGUGCCACUCUGAGCCUGCCGGCCGGCCGGCUCAAACUGUCCUGUCACGGUGCUUUGCUUACUUCCCCUUUUCCCUCGACCUUAGCAGUAAACACAAAGACAACGCGUACGGAUGAUGGGACACCUGAGCCGAUAAUGGAGGAACUUCACGUACGAGGGGCACAGAAACCAAGUACUAACACCCUGACUCAGGUUCCCCAUCUUUCCCACCACCUUGUACAGAACUAAAUACGAGCAUCUCAUCCCAGAGCCCAAGUCCUUGGCCACGUCUCGGGAGAGACGUAUCUUUAAAGUGGACUCUGCUACUCUUUUGGGGUAUCUGCCAAUGCCGAUGACGUCAAAUGCGGCAAGGAGCCGAGAAUGCUCAGCCCCUGCCAGUCUGAGACUAGACAGCCUGUUCCUCCCGUCACAUCAGAACUGCACGAGCUCAUCUUCCCCUAAAGGCUGCUUUUCCCCCCCAUUAUCAGUUGCUUGGUACUAGUUCCUAGAAUAGCGAAUGCCGGCGAGUGACCUACAGUAGAACCUAGCCGGGGAGGCAGGCUCCCAGGAUGGAUUUCCAGGGCCCCUCUUCCAUCUCCUCAUGGGAAACAAGGAGAAACUUCAUCCCUCAAGGACAGGUAAUGGAAGUGAUUUAUCUCCAUGAGCGAGCCUUCAGGAAGGCAGAAUUUGGGUUACAGUAACAGCUGGAGUAUCUCCUAUCCACCCGUCCCCCUGAGCCCCCCUGUUCUCAUGAACAGCGGACAUAUUGCAGAAGGGAUCCUAAUGCGGAGCUUCCGGCAAUUUUUUUUUUCUUCCCAAAACCUGCAUCAUUUCUUCUAUGUAAGGUCUCCCCUCUGGGAUUCCUUAACCCUCUCUGUCUCCUGGACAUCUCCAGGAGAAUGAUAGGAACGCUAAAUAAUAUAAAGAACUAAAAUGCAGUGUCUCUAAGGAUUUAUUUUUCCUUACCCCCGGCCAGACCUGCGCUAAUUGUGUAUUGAUUGCUAAUUAUGAGCACCUUUGGCUCAUUUACUUCCCAUUCAGGGUCGGGAAGGUCAGAUGCAUCACCUUGCCCUAGGGACAAAAAGAACAGGGAGUGAAGGCUGCUAUCUCCACCACUCAUCUCCGAGCCAACCACUACUUAGCUCUGCACUUGCUUUAUAUAAUCCCAGACAUUAGCAGGGCUGACUGGAGAUCCCGAACCCCCAGUACCGGGUUUCAUGGUGAAUAUGCAAAUCCUGGCUUCCAACAUUGAUUUGUCUUCUGUUGCCCUGAUUCUUUGCUUCCAGUCCUGAUUCUAGAAUUCCAGCCAAAACCUCCGGUUGAAAGGUCCAGAGGGUGAACUGGUUUCUUGAGUCUCUGACUUAAAUACCUGCUACUUCUUAGAAACCCGGCAGCAAGACUCUAGCAAAUACAUUGAUGACAAGUAACCUGAGACUUAGCACAGCUUGGGUCAAGCUCUCAAGAGCCUAGAGCCAAGUCCUUUCCUUAUUAUGGAACAAGGGGCCAGUUUUACCAUCUGCUCCUAAUCAUUUGUCCCUCAGUGGAUGCAAAAAUGACAGCAGGACAGUUGCACUCAUUCCUACUCUUAUUCUAAUUCCUAAGGAUGACAUCUUUCCAAACACAUAUUAUAUGUUUUCUCCUCCCAUCUCCGUCCCAUCGUCUCAGACAAAUAUAAAAACCACCACCACUAAGCGCCCGGGCCGCACAUAUUCCCAUUUAUCCUCAACUGCUGCUUCAUGCCAACCCUCUUCUGGUCUCCAAGCCCUGGAGUCCAGUGUCAGUGACAGAUGGCCUGAGCCUCAGCCCUUGGGAGGGGAGAGGGUUCUGGCCCUCUCCUGGGGAGUCUGAGCAGAAGAGAGAGCCUAAAUUCUGCUUUGGGGGAGAAUCUCUGAGUUUGAGCCAUAUGGUUUUCUGGAAGUAAGGGCUUCUGACUAAUAAUGGGCUGGGGAGAAGAAGGGCCCUGUAUCUGGGUCAUAAGAAAAGCUGUGUUUAUGU